rnacentral:rRNA from 1 species
AGCUCCAAUAGCGUAUAUUAAAGUUGUUGCAGUUAAAACGCUCGUAGUCGGAUUUCGGGGCAGGUUUGCCGGUCUGCCGAUGGGUAUGCACUGGUAGAACUGUCCUUCCUUCCGGAGACGGCGCCUACUCUUAACUGAGCGGGUGUCGGAGACGGAUCGUUUACUUUGAAAAAAUCAGAGUGUUUCAAGCAGGCAGCUCGCUUUUGCAUGGAUUAGCAUGGGAUAAUGAAU